rnacentral:rRNA from 1 species
AUUGAACGCUGGCGGCAGGCCUAACACAUGCAAGUCGAGCGGGGUUUUCGGACCUAGCGGCGGACGGGUGAGUAAUGCGUAGGAAGCUACCCGAUAGAGGGGGAUACCAGUUGGAAACGACUGUUAAUACCGCAUAAUGUCUACGGACCAAAGUGUGGGACCUUCGGGCCACAUGCUAUCGGAUGUGCCUACGUGGGAUUAGCUAGUUGGUGGGGUAAUGGCUCACCAAGGCGACGAUCCCUAGCUGGUUUGAGAGGAUGAUCAGCCACACUGGAACUGAGACACGGUCCAGACUCCUACGGGAGGCAGCAGUGGGGAAUAUUGGACAAUGGGCGCAAGCCUGAUCCAGCCAUGCCGCGUGUGUGAGGAAGGCCUUCGGGUUGUAAAGCACUUUCAGUAGGGAGGAAGGGUGUUGUGUUAAUAGCGCAGCAUUUUGACGUUACCUACAGAAGAAGCACCGGCUAACUCUGUGCCAGCCGCCGCAGUAACAC